UUGCUGGGUUGGAUGAGUGGCGAACGGGUGAGUAACACGUGAGUAACCUGCCCCCUUCUUUGGGAUAACGGUCGGAAACGGCUGCUAAUACCGGGUAUUCACUGUCCUUCGCAUGGGGGGUGGUGGAAAGGUUUUUUCUGGUGGGGGAUGGGCUCGCGGCCUAUCAGCUUGUUGGUGGGGUGAUGGCUUACCAAGGCUUUGACGGGUAACCGGCCUGAGAGGGUGACCGGUCACAUUGGGACUGAGAUACGGCCCAGACUCCUACGGGAGGCAGCAGUGGGGAAUAUUGCACAAUGGGCGAAAGCCUGAUGCAGCGACGCCGCGUGAGGGAUGACGGCCUUCGGGUUGUAAACCUCUUUCGCUCAUGGUCAAGCCGCAACAGUGGUUGUGGUGAGGGUAGUGGGUAAAGAAGCACCGGCUAACUACGUGCCAGCAGCCGCGGUAAUACGUAGGGUGCGAGCGUUGUCCGGAAUUAUUGGGCGUAAAGGGCUUGUAGGCGGUUUGUCGCGUCUGCCGUGAAAUCCUCUGGCUUAACUGGGGGCGUGCGGUGGGUACGGGCAGGCUUGAGUGCGGUAGGGGAGACUGGAAC
rnacentral:rRNA from 1 species